AGCAUAUACAAAGGAGGUGCUAUAUAGAAGCCAUGGACCAGUCCACGACAAAAAAGAGAGAAAAUAUAUGAACGCGUAUAUCGAAUACUUAAUUUAAUACGAUGGUUCUUUAAUUGUUUGUAUAUAUAUAUAUAUAUAACAUAUAUAUAUAUAUACAUAAUAGAUAUAU